UGUUUGAUGUUCUAACGUGGACCCGUGAUCCGGGUUGCGGACAGUGUCUGGUGGGUAGUUUGACUGGGGCGGUCUCCUCCUAAAGAGUAACGGAGGAGCACGAAGGUUGGCUAAUCCUGGUCGGACAUCAGGAGGUUAGUGCAAUGGCAUAAGCCAGCUUGACUGCGAGCGUGACGGCGCGAGCAGGUGCGAAAGCAGGUCAUAGUGAUCCGGUGGUUCUGAAUGGAAGGGCCAUCGCUCAACGGAUAAAAGGUACUCCGGGGAUAACAGGCUGAUACCGCCCAAGAGUUCAUAUCGACGGCGGUGUUUGGCACCUCGAUGUCGGCUCAUCACAUCCUGGGGCUGAAGUAGGUCCCAAGGGUAUGGCUGUUCGCCAUUUAAAGUGGUACGCGAGCUGGGUUUAGAACGUCGUGAGACAGUUCGGUCCCUAUCUGCCGUGGGCGCUGGAGAACUGAGGGGGGCUGCUCCUAGUACGAGAGGACCGGAGUGGACGCAUCACUGGUGUUCGGGUUGUCAUGCCAAUGGCACUGCCCGGUAGCUAAAUGCGGAAGAGAUAAGUGCUGAAAGCAUCUAAGCACGAAACUUGCCCCGAGAUGAGUUCUCCCUGAGACUUAGAGUCUCCUGAAGGAACGUUGAAGACGACGACGUUGAUAGGCCGGGUGUGUAAGCGCAGCGAUGCGUUGAGCUAACCGGUACUAAUGAACCGUGA
rnacentral:rRNA from 1 species